GCACAAGCGGUGGAGACAUGGUGGAUGUAAUGUCGAUGCAACGCGAAGAACCUUACCUGGGCUUGACAUGCACUGGAAACCGGCAGAGAUGUCGGCCCCCCCCUUUGUUGGGGGCCCGGGGUGUGCAGGUGGGUGCAUGGCUGUCGUCAGCUCGUGCCGUGAGAUGUUGGGUUAAGUCCCGCAACGAGCGCAACCCUUGUCCUACGUUGCCAGCAUGCCCUUCGGGGUGAUGGGGACUCGUGGGAGACCGCCGGGGUCAACUCGGAGGAAGGUGGGGAUGACGUCAAGUCAUCAUGCCCCUUAUGUCCAGGGCUUCACACAUGCUACAAUGGCUGGUACAGAGGGUUGCGAUACCGCGAGGUGGAGCGAAUCCCUUAAAGCCGGUCUCAGUUCGGAUCGCAGUCUGCAACUCGACUGCGUGAAGUCGGAGUCGCUAGUAAUCGCAGAUCAGCAACGCUGCGGUGAAUACGUUCCCGGGC
rnacentral:rRNA from 1 species